rnacentral:sRNA from 1 species
CACAGAGCAGGCUGCCUUUGAACUCACAGAGAUCCACCUGCCCCUGCCUCCGGAGUACUGGAGUUAAAAGUAUGUACCACCCCUGCUAGCUGAACUUGCACUUUCUGGUCCAACCAGCUAGAAUGCUCUCACUUCCGUGAGUACUCUCCCAUUUGGUCUUUAGACAAGGAAAGGAGACAUGCUUUCUAUCCACCAUUGCCGGGGUCAUUGCAUCCUUGGUCACUUACUAACCCCACUCUCAUCCCAACAGACUCAUCCGACCCACUUCUUGUUACUUCAUGGCUGGCGAGUAGCCAGGCUGACCAAUUGUAGGACUUUGGAACUCAAGUGUCCAGUGUUGAGCCACUCCGCCCCUCAGCUAGUGGAAGAGAAAAGAGACUCUCACAAUGGGGUUAUAUGACUAACCAGAAAGACCGAGAUCCAGUUUCUAGUCCUCAGGGACACCCCAUCUAUACCAUCAACUUGGUGUCACCAAGAGGCUCUUUCUAAAACCUGUGUCGGAUGAAUCAAAGGCUUAAAGACAGCCCAGGAUUCGGAGAGGGAUGAUGGAUGGAGAUGGGAGGAGACUAAAAAUCUCCCAUUUCCUAAUGGACAAGUCAGACGCUGAAAGCUGGAAGGAAUUGAAUCAAGGUCCUGGUUCUCCACUGCCCCCAGGUCUAGCCUGGCUUGGAAUUUACUAUGUACUUGGGGCUAGCCUUGAAGUCCUGGCAGUCUUGAGUGUUGGGAUGGCAGGUAUAUACCACCAUACCUGGGAAGACAUAGCUUUGAAUAAACACGAGUAGAAACAAAAGCAAUCUAAGACUACAAGGAUCCCAUGAGGACAAAAGGAAGCAUUUGGAGAAGGCAUGGGAGAGAGCAGUGGCUUAUGGACAGGUAUUUUCAAGGGAGCGUCAGAGGCAAGAGGAGGAAUGAAGUAACAGAAGUGUGUCUGGGUACCGCACUGCAUUCUGGAGUGAGUGCUGCUGGGGCAUAGGGUGGGAGGAGGAGCAGGCUAGAGCUGUGUGUGAAAGUGAAGCCAUUCCACAAAGACUGCAUUUAGUAGGUCAAAGGUUUCAGACUUUCCUGUGAGUAAUAGAGUGAUAGGGAACUGUGGAAGGUCCUAAAUCAGGGGAGAAGUCUGAUGAAGCAUCAGGGAUGGAUAAAUGGAAAAGGGCUUGGGGGGGUAUGCACAGGGGUGACAAAGGGGUCCAUCAAAGGACUGGAAUCCAGCUGAGCAGAGAGGGGCUGUCAUGGGGGUGGGCAAUGGCCACGGACUGAAAGAAGUGGGGUAGAAGGUAUACACUACCUAGGCAUUCCUGAGAGGUUUUGGUGAGGGCCACAGAGCCUCCCAGGUUUCCAGUGAGCUUCUCUGAAGGAAUAACAGAGAGAAGACAAAGGCUAUGAGUUGAACACAGAGCUCGAGGUGCCUGGAGACAUAUGCCUGGAACAGGGAGCAGGUUAGAAUCCCAGUGAAGGUCUCUAGCGGGUAUUGCAAAUAGGGGCAAUUGGCACCAGAAGUGGUUCUGGACGAGCACAGCGCUUCAGGGCCCUAUAGAACGCUUAUGGGGAGCAGCGACAACAGAGGAGUCUAGGGCCAGCAGCACUGAACCCAGACACAGUGACCUGCAAAAACAGCAUGUUCCAAAGAGGAAGUGAUGGAGAAUUGUGCUAUUUGGAAAGUCCGUGUGACAGCGUGGUCGCAUGCGCCCAGCACUUGAAAGCUUGAGAUGGGAGGAUGUUGUCUUUGAGGCCAGCCUGGGCUACAGUACGAGACUGUCUCAACAACUGAAACAGAACAAAAGAAUUCAAACAAACAAAAUCAGAAACAAAAUUGGGGCUUAUGGUCCUCUUUUUUUUUUUUUUGAGGAAACACCAGUAUUUUGCACUGAGGACAUAGUCAUUUAUACUCCACUUACACCAUAUGCAGCCUCUGGGGAUCCUUGCCAGCAGCACUUCAUUUCUUAUGUAAAACCUUCUUAGACACAGGGUCUCGCGCAUUCCAGUUAACCCUACAUUUAUGCUAUAGCUGGGGAUGACCUUGGAUUUCUGAUCCUUCUGCUUCCAACAUCCAAAGCCUGGCAUCACAGACUUUGUAAUGACCAUGCCUGGUUUGGGAGGUGUGUAGGCUGGGCAAGCAUCUACCAACUGGGCAAGCAUCUACCAACUGAAUUACAUCCCCAGCCCUAUUUCUUUUUUAUUUCUCUCGCCCUCCCUCCUUCCUUCUCGCCUACCUUUAGUGUAUGUGCAUGAUGUGUGUAUGGAGCAUCCGUGUGCCUGUGCAUGUAUUUGCAAAGGUCAGAAGAGGAUGUUAUGUGCUCUGUUCUGUUGUUCCCUUGAGACAGGAUCGCUCACCAAAGCUGUUGCUAGGGUGGUGCCAGCAACCCCCAAAGAUCUUCCUCUUUCCACCUCCCUCCCAGAACUGGGGUUGCAGGUGUGAAACUAUGUCUAGUUGUUUUAUGUGGGUCAUGACAACUUGUUUUCUCUGAACCAUCUCCCCAAUACCUCCCUGUCUCGUCUUGAAAAAACUGUAACCAUGCCAGUGGCUGGGAGGUGGAAUCUCUUUGUGAGUUUUUAUGCUUUUAAAAAUAAUUUUAUUUAUUUAUUAUAUGUGUGUAGGGGUGAGUGUGGGUUCUUGUUCUGAGGUCAACGGACAGCUUUGUAAAGUUACUUCUCUCUUUCCACCUUCAUGCAGGCUCUGGGGAUUGAACUCAAGUCAUCAGCCUUGCACACACACACCUUUACCCACUGAGCCCUAUCACCAGCUCUCUCCUUACAGUUUUGAUUGGCAUUUUAUAAAUAGCUAAUUAUGCUAAGCAUCCUUUCGUGUGUUCGUUGACCAUUUAUGAAUGAUCUUUUGAGAAAUGACUAUUUAAGAUUCUGGUCCAGUCAGGGGCGGUGGUGCAUGCCUUUAGUCCCAGCACUUAGGAGUUAGAGGCAGGCAGAUCUCUGUGAGUUCUAGGCCA